UACGAAGGGGGCUAGCGUUGCUCGGAAUUACUGGGCGUAAAGCGCACGUAGGCGGGUCGUUAAGUCGGGGGUGAAAUCCUGGAGCUCAACUCCAGAACUGCCUUCGAUACUGGAAGACUUGAGUCCGGGAGAGGUGAGUGGAACUGCGAGUGUAGAGGUGAAAUUCGUAGAUAUUCGCAAGAACACCAGUGGCGAAGGCGGCUCACUGGCCCGGUACUGACGCUGAGGUGCGAAAGCGUGGGGGAGCAAACAGG
rnacentral:rRNA from 1 species